AGUCGCAGGUAACAUGAGGAAAGCUUGCUUUCCUUGAUGACGACUGGCGCACGGGUGAGUAACGUGUAUCCAACCUUCCCAUAACUACGGGAUAACCCGUUGAAAGACGGCCUAAUACCGUAUGAUAUCGUUUGCUGACAUCAAAUAACGAUUAAAGGUUUAGCGGUUAUGGAUGGGGAUGCGUCUGAUUAGCUUGUUGGCGGGGUAACGGCCCACCAAGGCGACGAUCAGUAGGGGUUCUGAGAGGAAGGUCCCCCACAUUGGAACUGAGACACGGUCCAAACUCCUACGGGAGGCAGCAGUGAGGAAUAUUGGUCAAUGGGCGAGAGCCUGAACCAGCCAAGUAGCGUGCAGGAUGACGGCCCUAUGGGUUGUAAACUGCUUUUAUGUGGGGAUAAAGUGCGUGACGUGUCAUGCAUUGCAGGUACCACAUGAAUAAGGACCGGCUAAUUCCGUGCCAGCAGCCGCGGUAAUACGGAAGGUCCGGGCGUUAUCCGGAUUUAUUGGGUUUAAAGGGAGCGUAGGCUGUCUAUUAAGCGUGUUGUGAAAUUUACCGGCUCAACCGGUGGCUUGCAGCGCGAACUGGUCGACUUGAGUAUGCAGGAAGUAGGCGGAAUUCAUGGUGUAGCGGUGAAAUGCUUAGAUAUCAUGACGAACUCCGAUUGCGCAGGCAGCUUACUGUAGCAUAACUGACGCUGAUGCUCGAAAGUGCGGGUAUCAAACAGGAUUAGAUACCCUGGUAGUCCGCACGGUAAACGAUGGAUGCUCGCUAUUCGUCCUUUUGGAUGAGUGGCCGAGUGAAAACAUUAAGCAUCCCACCUGGGGAGUA
rnacentral:rRNA from 1 species